rnacentral:rRNA from 1 species
AGUGGCGAACGGGUGAGUAACACGUGAGUAACCUGCCCCUGACUCUGGGAUAAGCGUUGGAAACGACGUCUAAUACUGGAUAUGACGGCCGAUCGCAUGGUCUGGUCGUGGAAAGAUUUUUUGGUUGGGGAUGGACUCGCGGCCUAUCAGCUUGUUGGUGAGGUAAUGGCUCACCAAGGCGACGACGGGUAGCCGGCCUGAGAGGGUGACCGGCCACACUGGGACUGAGACACGGCCCAGACUCCUACGGGAGGCAGCAGUGGGGAAUAUUGCACAAUGGGCGAAAGCCUGAUGCAGCAACGCCGCGUGAGGGACGACGGCCUUCGGGUUGUAAACCUCUUUUAGUAGGGAAGAAGGGAGCCUUUGGUUCUUGACGGUACCUGCAGAAAAAGCACCGGCUAACUACGUGCCAGCAGCCGCGGUAAUACGUAGGGUGCAAGCGUUGUCCGGAAUUAUUGGGCGUAAAGAGCUCGUAGGCGGUUUGUCGCGUCUGCUGUGAAAUCCCGAGGCUCAACCUCGGGCUUGCAGUGGGUACGGGCAGACUAGAGUGCGGUAGGGGAGAUUGGAAUUCCUGGUGUAGCGGUGGAAUGCGCAGAUAUCAGGAGGAACACCGAUGGCGAAGGCAGAUCUCUGGGCCGUUA